rnacentral:rRNA from 1 species
UAUUAGGUACAUUCCUAUAAAAAAUAAUUAAUCCACCAAAUCCCAUUAGAACUCUGCACCUAAGCACGCUUGGGCUAGAGUAGUACUGGGAUGGGUGACCACCUGAGAAGUCCUAUUGUUUUACUUG